rnacentral:rRNA from 1 species
GACGAACGCUGGCGGCGUGCUUAACACAUGCAAGUCGAACGGAAAGGCCCUGCUUUUGUGGGGUGCUCGAGUGGCGAACGGGUGUGUAACACGUGAGUAACCUGCCCUUGACUUUGGGAUAACUUCAGGAAACUGGGGCUAAUACCGGAUAGGAGCUCCUGCUGCAUGGUGGGGGUUGGAAAGUUUCGGCGGUUGGGGAUGGACUCGCGGCUUAUGAGCUUGUUGGUGGGGUAGUGGCUUACCAAGGCUUUGACGGGUAGCCGGCCUGAGAGGGUGACCGGCGACAUUGGGACUGAGAUACGGCCCAGACUCCUACGGGAGGCAGCAGUGGGGAAUAUUGCACAAUGGGCGGAAGCCUGAUGCAGCGACGCCGCGUGCGGGAUGACGGCCUUCGGGUUGUAAACCGCUUUCGCCUGUGACGAAGCGUGAGUGACGGUAAUGGGUAAAGAAGCACCGGCUAACUACGUG